rnacentral:lncRNA from 1 species
UACCGCUACAAUGGGAAGCUGAACUUAGGCCCAGUUGGGGUCUCCGCAAGGGAGCUGAACCGGGGAGCAUUCCCCACAUGCCCAGAUGGCUGCUUUGUGCCACAGAGGACGAGGCCGCUGCCUGCACAUCUCCCUCCUGUCUCCAGGUCUUCGAGAACGAGUGGGAGUCGGACCGAGAGAGCGACGUGGCGUCGGACUGCUUCACGGAAGGGUCGCUGGCGUUUUGCACGGGGGACCCUGAACCCGCUGCCCUGGUCCCCAAGGCUCUUUGGGGCCACUCAACCCCGAAACCAGCCCAGGGUUGCAGCGCUCCUGUCGGGGACUCCUCAGCUGCAGACCUGGAGUGGGACCCCUCGGUGGACGUGGGCGGGUCCACCUCGCAGGACGAAGACUCGUCGUAUUACAGUGCUGUCAUGGGCCUCGGCCGGGGGGACCAUCUUCGGCGGAGGAGCCGUUCUUGGCGCUGGAGCUGGGGCAGAACGGAAGAAUUUUCGGUCCCAGAGGAGGGGGAGCUCUGUAGCUGCCCGGGGUCUUAUCCGAUGAAAACAGAUGUUUUGGUUGUUGAAGAUCCUUUGGCUUGCAGGUGGAAAGUUUCAUUUUGGGGCCCCUUUCCACUUUGUCGUUCCUUUUGGGUAGGACAUCCCACCCCCCAGGAACCAGGAGCUGCCCAGCUGCCCACGAUGGGGCUCUGCUGCCCACCCCUCGAAGCCAAGGGGUUUGAUCCCAAACGCAUUGAGACCUGGCUGGACCAGAACUGCCAGAACCAAAUGGGAAUCCCUCCAGAGAUCAAAGAGGACUCCAUAACCCACGUGGAUAAGCUUCCACCGGCCAAGGAGUUGCAGCACCCUCUGCAAAUUCAGACAAGGGGCCAGAAAGUCCACCGAUGGUCCAGGAAAAAAGGCAAACAGAACCUCAUCACUGGCCAGUUGUGGUCGGGGAAGGAGCAACGGAUCUCCAAGACGCUAAAUUCCCCAUCAGCAGAAAUUAUGGCUACUAUUGAGAAAGAAUGUGACCUGCAGCUACCCAAAGGGAUUUCUACCCAGUCCAAGAAGCUCUGCAGAGCCUCUGUCCUCUGGCUGCUCUUGAGCACGACCUUUGCGGUGCUGGUGUGGUUGCUGUGCCAGUCCUCUUUCCUUCCCCUCUCCCAGCCCCGCUGCCUCCAGACCAAUGGCUUUGCCAAAUCCUUCCACCUCAUGCUAAAAUACGAGGGUCCUCCCCCCACGUAG